UUAAGCGACUAAGCGUACACGGUGGAUGCCCUGGCAGUCAGAGGCGAUGAAGGACGUGCUAAUCUGCGAUAAGCGUCGGUAAGGUGAUAUGAACCGUUAUAACCGGCGAUUUCCGAAUGGGGAAACCCAGUGUGUUUCGACACACUAUCAUUAACUGAAUCCAUAGGUUAAUGAGGCGAACCGGGGGAACUGAAACAUCUAAGUACCCCGAGGAAAAGAAAUCAACCGAGAUUCCCUCAGUAGCGGCGAGCGAACGGGGAGCAGCCCAGAGCCUGAAUCAGUAUGUGUGUUAGUGGAAGCGUCUGGAAAGGCGCGCGAUACAGGGUGACAGCCCCGUACACAAAAAUGCACAUAUUGUGAGCUCGAUGAGUAGGGCGGGACACGUGGUAUCCUGUCUGAAUAUGGGGGGACCAUCCUCCAAGGCUAAAUACUCCUGACUGACCGAUAGUGAACCAGUACCGUGAGGGAAAGGCGAAAAGAACCCCGGCGAGGGGAGUGAAAAAGAACCUGAAACCGUGUACGUACAAGCAGUGGGAGCACGCUUCGGCGUGUGACUGCGUACCUUUUGUAUAAUGGGUCAGCGACUUAUAUUCUGUAGCAAGGUUAACCGAAUAGGGGAGCCGAAGGGAAACCGAGUCUUAACUGGGCGUUAAGUUGCAGGGUAUAGACCCGAAACCCGGUGAUCUAGCCAUGGGCAGGUUGAAGGUUGGGUAACACUAACUGGAGGACCGAACCGACUAAUGUUGAAAAAUUAGCGGAUGACUUGUGGCUGGGGGUGAAAGGCCAAUCAAACCGGGAGAUAGCUGGUUCUCCCCGAAAGCUAUUUAGGUAGCGCCUCGUGAAUUCAUCUCCGGGGGUAGAGCACUGUUUCGGCAAGGGGGUCAUCCCGACUUACCAACCCGAUGCAAACUGCGAAUACCGGAGAAUGUUAUCACGGGAGACACACGGCGGGUGCUAACGUCCGUCGUGAAGAGGGAAACAACCCAGACCGCCAGCUAAGGUCCCAAAGUCAUGGUUAAGUGGGAAACGAUGUGGGAAGGCCCAGACAGCCAGGAUGUUGGCUUAGAAGCAGCCAUCAUUUAAAGAAAGCGUAAUAGCUCACUGGUCGAGUCGGCCUGCGCGGAAGAUGUAACGGGGCUAAACCAUGCACCGAAGCUGCGGCAGCGACACUAUGUGUUGUUGGGUAGGGGAGCGUUCUGUAAGCCUGUGAAGGUGUGCUGUGAGGCAUGCUGGAGGUAUCAGAAGUGCGAAUGCUGACAUAAGUAACGAUAAAGCGGGUGAAAAGCCCGCUCGCCGGAAGACCAAGGGUUCCUGUCCAACGUUAAUCGGGGCAGGGUGAGUCGACCCCUAAGGCGAGGCCGAAAGGCGUAGUCGAUGGGAAACAGGUUAAUAUUCCUGUACUUGGUGUUACUGCGAAGGGGGGACGGAGAAGGCUAUGUUGGCCGGGCGACGGUUGUCCCGGUUUAAGCGUGUAGGCUGGUUUUCCAGGCAAAUCCGGAAAAUCAAGGCUGAGGCGUGAUGACGAGGCACUACGGUGCUGAAGCAACAAAUGCCCUGCUUCCAGGAAAAGCCUCUAAGCAUCAGGUAACAUCAAAUCGUACCCCAAACCGACACAGGUGGUCAGGUAGAGAAUACCAAGGCGCUUGAGAGAACUCGGGUGAAGGAACUAGGCAAAAUGGUGCCGUAACUUCGGGAGAAGGCACGCUGAUAUGUAGGUGAGGUCCCUCGCGGAUGGAGCUGAAAUCAGUCGAAGAUACCAGCUGGCUGCAACUGUUUAUUAAAAACACAGCACUGUGCAAACACGAAAGUGGACGUAUACGGUGUGACGCCUGCCCGGUGCCGGAAGGUUAAUUGAUGGGGUCAGCGCAAGCGAAGCUCUUGAUCGAAGCCCCGGUAAACGGCGGCCGUAACUAUAACGGUCCUAAGGUAGCGAAAUUCCUUGUCGGGUAAGUUCCGACCUGCACGAAUGGCGUAAUGAUGGCCAGGCUGUCUCCACCCGAGACUCAGUGAAAUUGAACUCGCUGUGAAGAUGCAGUGUACCCGCGGCAAGACGGAAAGACCCCGUGAACCUUUACUAUAGCUUGACACUGAACAUUGAGCCUUGAUGUGUAGGAUAGGUGGGAGGCUUUGAAGUGUGGACGCCAGUCUGCAUGGAGCCGACCUUGAAAUACCACCCUUUAAUGUUUGAUGUUCUAACGUUGACCCGUAAUCCGGGUUGCGGACAGUGUCUGGUGGGUAGUUUGACUGGGGCGGUCUCCUCCUAAAGAGUAACGGAGGAGCACGAAGGUUGGCUAAUCCUGGUCGGACAUCAGGAGGUUAGUGCAAUGGCAUAAGCCAGCUUGACUGCGAGCGUGACGGCGCGAGCAGGUGCGAAAGCAGGUCAUAGUGAUCCGGUGGUUCUGAAUGGAAGGGCCAUCGCUCAACGGAUAAAAGGUACUCCGGGGAUAACAGGCUGAUACCGCCCAAGAGUUCAUAUCGACGGCGGUGUUUGGCACCUCGAUGUCGGCUCAUCACAUCCUGGGGCUGAAGUAGGUCCCAAGGGUAUGGCUGUUCGCCAUUUAAAGUGGUACGCGAGCUGGGUUUAGAACGUCGUGAGACAGUUCGGUCCCUAUCUGCCGUGGGCGCUGGAGAACUGAGGGGGGCUGCUCCUAGUACGAGAGGACCGGAGUGGACGCAUCACUGGUGUUCGGGUUGUCAUGCCAAUGGCACUGCCCGGUAGCUAAAUGCGGAAGAGAUAAGUGCUGAAAGCAUCUAAGCACGAAACUUGCCCCGAGAUGAGUUCUCCCUGACCCUUUAAGGGUCCUGAAGGAACGUUGAAGACGACGACGUUGAUAGGCCGGGUGUGUAAGCGCAGCGAUGCGUUGAGCUAACCGGUACUAAUGAACCGUGAGGCUUAACCUU
rnacentral:rRNA from 1 species